GUGGGGAAUCUUGCGCAAUGGGCGAAAGCCUGACGCAGCCAUGCCGCGUGAAUGAUGAAGGUCUUAGGAUUGUAAAAUUCUUUCACCGGGGACGAUAAUGACGGUACCCGGAGAAGAAGCCCCGGCUAACUUCGUGCCAGCAGCCGCGGUAAUACGAAGGGGGCUAGCGUUGCUCGGAAUUACUGGGCGUAAAGGGCGCGUAGGCGGACAGCUUAGUCAGAGGUGAAAGCCCAGGGCUCAACCUUGGAAUUGCCUUUGAUACUGGCUGUCUUGAGUUUGGGAGAGGUGAGUGGAACUCCGAGUGUAGAGGUGAAAUUCGUAGAUAUUCGGAAGAACACCAGUGGCGAAGGCGACUCACUGGCCCGUUACUGACGCUGAGGCGCGAAAGCGUGGGGAGCAAACAGGAUUAGAAACCCUGGUAGUCC
rnacentral:rRNA from 1 species